rnacentral:sRNA from 1 species
CUUCCACAGUACCUUCCACAAUACCAGUGCUAAUCUGACUGAGAGUAUCACAGAAGAGAACUAUAAUUUCCUGCCACAUAGCCCCUCCAAGAAAGAUUCUGAAUGGAAGAGUGGAACAAAAGUCAGUCGUACAUUCAGCUACAUCAAGAAUAAAAUGUCCAGCAGCAAGAAGAGCAAAGUAAGUAUCACUGUGGGCAUUGCUUGUGAUCACCUCAGUAGGAUCCUGUCACAGCCUGCAUUCACACCAAAACUGGUUAAAUCAUGGGGACAUAAAUGGAAAUAAAUUCAGGAUUACUCUCCGAAAUCACCUAAUAUUUAAAGGAAAAUAAGAAGAAGAAAAAUAGCAAGAAGUGGAACUACCAGUUACUGAGUUUUCACUAUAUGCUAAGUGCUUUCCAUAUAUUAUUUAACCCUUUCAACAACCCUAUCAGGUAGGUAUUAUCUCUCUUUUCUAAAAGUGAUGUGCCUUACUGAGGAUGCUCCUCUAAUGUGAAGUAGUAGUUCAAACCAGAUUUCUUUGGUUUCAAAUCCAUACUCUUAAACCACAGUGCUUAAAUCUGUAAUAUCAGUAUAAAUGCAACAGAAGGAUUUUAUGCCAAGAUCAAAGGAUUGAAAAUGUUUAUAUUUGGGUUUAGAGGGAAGGAUUAUCCCACAGAAGAUUACAAGAACUUUUAAGACUAAUAUGAUUUCUUAGAUCUAUUUCUAAUUAGGAGCAUUUAGAAUAUAUUCUCUUAGUGAUUAAGAGAUUAA